rnacentral:lncRNA from 1 species
GAAAAAUACAGUGGAAUUUGCUCUGCACUCUCAGAAUAUGAAUGAUGAGCCUCCUGUAUGCAAUCCACCACAUUUGGAAACUCAAAUUUAUUCCACUGUUGAGUCCUUUCAUUCAGCUCAACUGUUUAGCAAAGAUUCUCCACAGGAACAUCUGAGCUAUUCAAUUGUAGGAGUCCAUCAACGAUGCCUUAAAAAGAGCAGGAUGAAAGUAGAAAGAAGAGAUUGGAGAAAAUGUCAUUGAGCAGCUAUUACUUUAAGAAGUGCUUUACUGAUGUUAUCCGUGCUGAU